ACAGGAGGGACGAGGGAGUAUGCUCAGAGACUGUGCUUUUAAGCGCCAAACACCCGCAAUGUUUGGUGAAUCCUAAAAUACUAAAAAGAGCCACCGGAUUAAAAUUUCCCAAACUCCUGGGAUGGCUGUAUCAGACCCAGUUCAGUUGCAGAGAAUUAUAGUAGGAAACAACCAUGGCGAGAAGCUUGUCGGCAUACUACAUGAAACAGGCUCCAAGGAGCUUGUAAUUAUCUGCCAUGGCUUUAGGUCUUCGAAGGAGAGAAUUCCUAUGGUGAACCUUGCUGCUGCUUUUGCAAAUAAUGGAAUUAGUGCCUUCCGCUUUGAUUUUACGGGUAAUGGGGAAAGUGAGGGUUCUUUUCAGUAUGGUAACUAUCGUAGAGAAGCUGAUGAGUUGCGCAAUGUUGUUGAGUUCUUUCAUGCCAAGAAACGUCUCAUUGCUGCUGUUAUAGGGCACAGUAAAGGAGGCAAUGUAGUGCUGCUGUAUGCUUCAAAGUACAGGGAUGUUAGCACAGUUGUCAACAUUUCAGGUCGCUUUAAUCUAGAGAGGGGCAUUGGAGGGCGUUUGGGUAAAGACUUCUUGAAAAGAAUCAAACAAAGUGGUUUUGUUGAUGUUAAAGACAGAAAAGGCAAGAUAGAGUAUCGAGUGACUGAAGCAAGUUUAAUGGAUCGUCUAACAACCGAUAUGCGUGCAGCAUCCCUUGCAAUCCAACGAAACUGCCGGGUCUUGACUGUUCAUGGUUCCAAGGAUGAAAUGAUACCGGUCGAAGAUGCCAUGGAGUUUGGCAAGUACAUUGCAAACCACAGACUGUUCGUUAUAGAACUAGCAGACCAUGAAUAUACUUCACAUCAAGAUGAAUUAGCUUCAGUGGUUCUGGAAUUCGUGAGUCAGAAUCAUAAGGACGAGUCUCUUCCUGAUCAGCUGUCAUGCAGAAAAGCAGGAAGAAUUGUUCGACCACGCAUUUGAUUAAAAGGAUAAUUCGAGAACGCAACUGAUUCUCUAGUAAAUUAUACUUGGGAGAGUCUGAGGAGCUCGUCCCUGGCCAUUGAUGGCCAGGAAUGGCCAGGGACGUUUUAUUCGGCCAGCUAUGAUCCAACGGCUGAGAUUAAAUAUUCGCUUCAAGUUACCAGCUCUUUUUUGGCUUGAAGGUGAAAUUUUAAAAAUAUUUACGAAAAUACCAUUAGUGCUUCCGGCUUAAAAAAAGAGCUGGUAGACUGGUUCGAUUCAAAAGAAAGGUCCUCUAAAACCCUACUCAAUCUCCCGCUUAGAAGUUAACCAUCAUUUUCAAGGCUGCCAGCGAUUAGAAGACGAUCCCAUCACCUUCUGCGAUUGUACUGCAAGUUCAUUGGUGAUUAACAGAUCACUAUAGAGAGAUUACUGCAGAUGGAAUGUUCCUUUCAGUUCUAACUUGGGAUAUAGGUUAUGGGUUUCAGGGAGUUCUCUUGCAAAAAUGAGGUGCAAAUUCAAUCAGUAUUCUGCUACCUGAAAGUCAAUCAGGAUUGAAGACCAACCCAAAAUGUGUUCUACCUAAAAUAUAGAGUUAGUAUGGAUGACAAAUUGGCAGGACCUAUUAGUCAGACAAAUUAUAUUUGAUAAUGCAUUUUGCACGUGAGCUUCAAAAGGGGAAGAUGAGACCAUUGACAAUGCUUCUAUAUAGUUGUGAUUUUAUCAGAACUUUUAUUAGAUAGAACUUAAAUUUGUGGUGGUUAUACUUUAAUGUCUACUCGUAGUUGUAAUGUAAGAAUAAUGCUAGAGACCCCAAAUUCGGUACCUAGAAUUCUUCCCAAGUAACAUGGCGUUGAUGAUGUGUCAGUUUGGGAUGUUUUAGUUGUUGAGAUUAUUGUGAAUACUCGGGGCCUAUUAUAUUUUAUAGAGUUUAGUUAAUUAAAUCA